rnacentral:lncRNA from 1 species
CUUUCAGGAUCACCUUCCUUUAACAUGUUCGGAGGAAGAAGCGUUGGUCUCACAUCCUCCCAAGGGAAGCCCACCUCUCCUCUGUGGUUGCAUUCAAAACCCUCUUUCAGCUUUGCUGUGGAAUGGCUACUCUGUCUGAUCUUAUCACUGCUGCAUCUCUGGGAUUCUGGUCCUCCUGCAACACGAUGCUGCUGUUGCUGCUGGCACCGCUGCCAUGUCCAUCUCAGCCAGGAGCUGGUGGGGCAGGAGACUGUUUUUGUCUUUGCCUUGGGCUGUAAUUCCUU